AUGUUGAAAUUGAGAGAUAAUCAUUUGCAUGGGAUACUACCUGAAAAUAUUGGAGAAGGAUGUAUGCUUCAGACAAUUGAUUUGAACAACAACCAAAUUGAAGGGAAGAUACCAAGAUCAUUAUGUAACUGCAGAAACUUAGAGGUUCUUGACAUUGGUAGCAAUCAAAUUCUUGAUACUUUUCCAUCUUGGUUGGGUGAGAUGUCUAAUCUACGAAUUCUCAUCUUGAGAUCAAAUCAAUUAUAUGGUUCAAUAGGAGGCCCUGGUGAAAGUGAUGCGAGUAGUAAGGGCUUCUCGGCUUUGCAGAUUAUUGAUUUGGCCUCAAAUAACUUUUCUGGGAACUUGAGUUCAAAAUGGUUUGACAUGCUACAAAGAAUGACAGAAAACUCUAGUGAGAAGGGUAAUGCUCUGGCCUUUGACUCAAGAUUUCCCGGGGAGUACUACCAAGAGAGACUCACAUUCAAAGGGAUUGAUCUUACAUUUACCAAGAUCCUGACCACUUUCAAGAUGCUUGAUUUCUCAAACAACACAUUUGAUGGUCCCAUGCCAGACUCAAUUGGGAAUCUUAUUGCUCUACAUGGCCUGAACAUGUCACAUAAUGCCUUCACUGGAAGAAUCCUAUCAAAGCUUGGUGACUUGGCACAGCUUGAGUCACUGGACCUCUCUCGGAACAAGCUCUCGGGGGAGAUCCCAAGGGAUCAAACCAGCCUAACAUAUCUGGCCGUGUUGAAUCUCUCCUACAACAAUUUGACCGGAAUGAUACCAGAAGGGCAGCAGUUCUCACUGUUCACCAACAGCUCAUUCGAAGGCAAUGAAGGACUGUGUGGGAAGCCACUGUCCAAACAGUGCAACAGUUCAGGUACCGGAACCCUCAACUCAUCGGUGUCUUCGCAAGACAGUGUUGGAACCAUAGUGUUGUUUGUGUUUGUGGGAUCCGGUUUCGGAGUUGGCUUUGCGGUGGCUGUUGUUUUGUCAGUGGCUUUCCAGGCCAAACGCUGGAACUGCAAUCGUUUCCGUUCUACCAGUAAAUGA
rnacentral:rRNA from 1 species